UUGUGUUUAAAGACAUAUAUAACAUAUUUUGUAUGUAGAUUCAUUUUAAUUGUAUAAUUCUUAUUUCUAGAAUAAUCUGCAUAUGUAUUACAGGGACCGCGGAGACUGUUUUGAAGUGUGUGUGUGUGGGGGAGGGGGGGGAGGGGGGAGGAAAGGCAGGAUAGCACGGGCAAUAGCUCACUCAGGCAGACUGGAUUUUAUACGGCCAUGGCCCCCGCCUCCCCCUGUUCCGCGGUCCCUGUAUUUUUGCAUGCUUAGGAGAGAAUUCGCAACUCGGUUAAUUGUGGCUGUGCACAAGAUUAAUUAAACAUAAGAAUUCUCCCCUAUCGUAUUUAUCUUUGUUAAUUAAUUUGUUAACGUAAAUCAGGGAUGGAUUUACUGGGGGAGGGGAGGUGUGGGGGUAUAACGCCCCCCAAGGAAAAGUCAAGAAAGGGAUCCCAAUUUCCCCCAGCUCGGGGGCCCCGGAAUGCUGGGAUUGUGGAACUUGUUAAAUAUUAAGGAAUAUUCUGAAACAUUG